rnacentral:rRNA from 1 species
GUUAGAUGCGAUGGGGGGACGGAUCGCGGAAGGUUGUCCGGGUGUUGGACGUCCCGGUCGCUGCAUUGGAGAAGGCGCUUAGGCAAAUCCGGGCGCAGGAUUCAAGGGUGUGGCGCGAGCGACUUCGGUCGCGAAGCAAUUGGAAGUGGUUCCAAGAAAAGCCUCUAAGCUUCAGUCUAACGAUGACCGUACCGCAAACCGACACAGGUGGGCGAGAUGAGUAUUCUAAGGCGCUUGAGAGAACUCGGGAGAAGGAACUCGGCAAAUUGGUACCGUAACUUCGGGAUAAGGUACGCCCUUGUAGCUUGACCAGCCUGCGCUGGAAGGGUGAAGGGGUUGCAAUAAACUGGUGGCUGCGACUGUUUAAUAAAAACACAGCACUCUGCAAACACGAAAGUGGACGUAUAGGGUGUGACGCCUGCCCGGUGCCGGAAGAUUAAAUGAUGGGGUGCAAGCUCUUGAUUGAAGUCCCGGUAAACGGCGGCCGUAACUAUAACGGUCCUAAGGUAGCGAAAUUCCUUGUCGGGUAAGUUCCGACCUGCACGAAUGGCGUAACGAUGGCCACACUGUCUCCUCCCGAGACUCAGCGAAGUUGAAGUGUUUGUGAUGAUGCAAUCUACCCGCGGCUAGACGGAAAGACCCCAUGAACCUUUACUGUAGCUUUGCAUUGGACUUUGAACCGAUCUGUGUAGGAUAGGUGGGAGGCUAUGAAACCGGAACGCUAGUUUCGGUGGAGCCGUCCUUGAAAUACCACCCUGGUUUGUUUGAGGUUCUAACCUUGGUCCGUGAUCCGGAUCGGGGACAGUGCAUGGUAGGCAGUUUGACUGGGGCGGUCUCCUCCCAAAGGGUAACGGAGGAGUACGAAGGUACGCUAGGUACGGUCGGAAAUCGUGCUGAUAGUGCAAUGGCAUAAGCGUGCUUAACUGCGAGACCGACAAGUCGAGCAGGUGCGAAAGCAGGUCAUAGUGAUCCGGUGGUUCUGUAUGGAAGGGCCAUCGCUCAACGGAUAAAAGGUACUCUGGGGAUAACAGGCUGAUACCGCCCAAGAGUUCAUAUCGACGGCGGUGUUUGGCACCUCGAUGUCGGCUCAUCUCAUCCUGGGGCUGUAGCCGGUCCCAAGGGUAUGGCUGUUCGCCAUUUAAAGAGGUACGUGAGCUGGGUUUAAAACGUCGUGAGACAGUUUGGUCCCUAUCUGCCGUGGGCGUUGGAUAUUUGAAGGGGGCUGCUCCUAGUACGAGAGGACCGGAGUGGACGAACCUCUGGUGUACCGGUUGUGACGCCAGUCGCAUCGCCGGGUAGCUAUGUUCGGAAGAGAUAACCGCUGAAAGCAUCUAAGCGGGAAACUCGCCUUAAGAUGAGAUAUCCCUGGAGGCUUGACCUCCUUGAAGGGUCGUUCGAGACCAGGACGUUGAUAGGUCGGGUGUGUAAGCGCAGUAAUGCGUUCAGCUAACCGAUACUAAUUGCCCGUAAGGCUUGAUCCU